GAUGAGCCCGCGGCCUAUCAGCUUGUUGGUGGGGUGAUGGCCUACCAAGGCGACGACGGGUAGCCGGCCUGAGAGGGCGACCGGCCACACUGGGACUGAGACACGGCCCAGACUCCUACGGGAGGCAGCAGUGGGGAAUAUUGCACAAUGGGCGGAAGCCUGAUGCAGCGACGCCGCGUGAGGGAUGACGGCCUUCGGGUUGUAAACCUCUUUCAGCAGGGAAGAAGCUUUUGUGACGGUACCUGCAGAAGAAGCACCGGCUAACUACGUGCCAGCAGCCGCGGUAAUACGUAGGGUGCGAGCGUUGUCCGGAAUUAUUGGGCGUAAAGAGCUCGUAGGCGGCUUGUCGCGUCGGAUGUGAAAGCCCGGGGCUUAACCCUGGGUCUGCAUUCGAUACGGGCAGGCUGGAGUUCGGUAGGGGAGAUCGGAAUUCCUGGUGUAGCGGUGAAAUGCGCAGAUAUCAGGAGGAACACCGGUGGCGAAGGCGGAUCUCUGGGCCGAUACUGACGCUGAGGAGCGAAAGCAUGGGGAGCGAACAGGAUUAGAUACCCUGGUAGUCCAUGCCGUAAACGUUGGGCACUAGGUGU
rnacentral:rRNA from 1 species